CGAGGCGUUUGGUGUGCUGUUGUUGUUUUUUAUGCAUCCGUGGACUUUUUGGGCUAUUGGUGGCAGUUCGGGGAUGAGACCUCUAGUUCUAUAAUCAACAAUCUACCCACCGAUGAAACCGUUCACAAUAGCCAUAUUUUAUAGCUACGCGCUGCAGUUACCAUUGAGAUAAUCUGGCGCUGCUAUAUGAAGCCUAGACUUAUGGCGAAUGCCACCAAAUCGGUAGAGUAUCUAUUGCGCAUGGUCAUGGUAGUUGCCUUCGUUCUUUGUGCCAUUGCAUAUCCAGAUUUUGGUCUACUACUCUCCUUCGUGGGAUCCUUCUGUCUGGCUCAGCUGAGAUUUAUUUAUCCAUUUAUUUAUCCAAAUAUGACAAUCAAAUCUUAUUUUUUCUAAGUGCUUUUCACAUAACCACAUAAAAUGUGAUUUUGUAUAUUCCAAAAUUUAUAAAACUUUUCCAAAAAUGUUGGUUAUUAAAAAAUCAUAUUUAAAUCCUGGAAAA